GACCUGGCCGAGACUGUGGACAA
rnacentral:piRNA from 1 species